rnacentral:misc_RNA from 1 species
GUAUGCGGGGAAGAGAACUCGAGAGUACCAUUAGCCUUGUUGCGUCGUGUGAAAAAAUCAAGUCGCAUCACUGUGCCCUCGCCGAGUAGUAGCAUAGAGUUUUCAGUUUGUUCGUGCCUGCCUGUAUCUGUAGACGCACUUCCUCCAACGUUUCUACAGGCACGCGUGCGAGUGAGUCUCGCAAAACGCACCAACAGGCUUGCUCAGAGGAGUCUUCUCACUGGCGCGGCGGCACACACACACACACAUGCACACAUAGACACCUCGUUAUCUGUGGCGAUGAAGACUCUAGAUCAGUGGCUUGAGGAUAGCUCGUCCGAAGACGACGUUGAACAGGUGCAACGCGCUGCCAGCAGCGAUGGCGAUCCGCCUAGCGCCUCAGGCGGCGAGCAUCCCAACGAGUUGCGUGCGGUCAGCGCCUCGCACAACAGCGGCGGUGGCGCAUCCGUGUCCGGCAGUCCCGUCUCGGCGCAUACACCGACUACGAUGCGCCCAGUGAAUCACCCGCAAGGCGGCCUCUAUGGAAGGCAAGAGGAGACCCGCGACAAAAUGAUGCGUCUACUCGGCGCGGAUGCUGUUGCCAAGGCCACGUCUUCAACAUCAUCAAGCGCGUCGCCCAACAGUCCCGCGUGGCCCGUAGCUGCAGUGCCAGACCGCAGCCGCUUCCUGUUUGGCGCAACCCCGGUCGGCACUCAGCCCGUGCCGCAGUCCUUGGGGAUACCAUCUGUGCUGUCUGGUGGGAGCUUCACCGGCGCCAACGCCGGCUCUCCGACAGGCGCGCUGGCCCGACCGCUGAAGGCGGUCACCCAAACAAACACGGCGACCGGCUCCAGUCAACUGCCUGAGGUCGAAAAGACUAUGCAGGCUUUCAACGGUGACUCGGCCUACGAAGCGGUAGAAGUGAUGGUGGUCGACCGCGGAACUCAGACAGUGUCGACGGUAGGAACGCAGACCGACCCACUGCCAAUGCCCUACGGCGCCUACUAUCCAGGACCCUUCGCGCCAUCGCCGUACACUGGCGCUGGCUCGUACGCUAGAUGGAUGCCGCCAAGUCUGCCACUACCAAGCUACGGCGUCGGCGUGGAUGAGCAGCCGUUUCGGCACCACUACCACGACUACGAGCAGCGGGAGGCGGCGGAAGCUGCCAAGCUGCGCGGCGAACUCGAGAUGAUUCAGAACUCAAUUGACAUGCUGAUCGCCCGUUACAAUCUCCCGCCACCGCCAAUGUAGUGCACCGUGGUGCCGGUGUUCGUGUGUUAGGUUUCUGUUUUCGAGUGCCCUUCCGGCAUUGUCGCGUGUUGCCGGCAUGACUGCUUCCUCUAAUCUACGUACACUCAAAU